ACUAUGGAGUGCACUAGAACUUGUGAGUAGAUAUGAUUUCGAUCAAUCCAAAGCAUGCACGGUGACAUAGUAA
ncrna:unclassified sequences RAGATH-18 RNA